rnacentral:rRNA from 1 species
UACGUAGGGUGCAAGCGUUGUCCGGAAUUUAUUGGGCGUAAAGAGCUCGUAGGCGGUUUUGUCGCGUCUGCUGUGAAAGCCCGGGGCUCAACCCCGGGUCUGCAGUGGGUACGGGCAGACUUGAGUGCGGUAGGGGAGAUUGGAAUUCCUGGUGUAGCGGUGGAAUGACGCAGAUAUCAGGAGGAACACCGAUGGCGAAGGCAGAUCUCUGGGCCGUUACUGACGCUGAGGAGCGAAAAGCAUGGGGAGCGAACAGGAUUAGACUA